UGUUUACCAUUGUAAUUCAGAACCCAAGCUUUUUCAUUGCAUGGAUAUAUUACAGAGACAGGCGUACCUGGGCUGGCAGAUUACACAUACUGCCCUGUGCAGGGCAAAUAACCACACUGUAAGAUAAGCUAUUCUUUUGCUACACUACAUUUUUGCUAGAAAAGCCAUUUUUCAGUAUCUUGACAGAGGAAGCAACAGCCAGAAGAAGGUGAGAUCAGCCCAUUUUUUAUUCUAGCUUCAGCAGCACUGCACUGAGGACUUUCAUUUUUGGACAUUAAUAAAAAAAGCCAAAACAAAGCAUUUCUCGCUCUCCCUCCCAGGACUCUAUAGCUGUGACUGAACAGUUCCAGAAUGCGAUGAAGACACAGCCAGACGCGCUGGCCGCCAUUUCAGAGCCCACCUGCUGGGCAACGCUAGGGCAGGCCACACAAAAUGGCGGCUGACCGUGAGGGGAGGUGGAGCCGCUCCCACCCCAUAGUGGCGCGGCCGCAGAAGCUUCGAGAGCGCCGACAGGAUGGCUUUGGCCAGGCGGUGUGUGCCGCCUCUGCUCCGGUUGCUGGUGGCAGCUCAUUGUCCAGGCUGUGUGGUAGAGGCAGCAGACAUCUGAGGGGGAGCUUUUGGCUAUCUGCCAGCAGGUACAGAAGCAAAAAAACUGGAUCAGUCUUUGUCUUUGAGCCAGUAACUGGUCUUUGCAAAACAACAAGCCGAAGUGUCCGUUGCCAAGCUUCAAUGUGGUGCUUGUGAUUAUUUUGCUGUAUUUAUGGUGGUUACGGACUCAGCAGAGCAGCAAUGUUGAAACCCAUGUGACUUUCCAGGGCAUUAUCUAGCAUACAUAUCAUGAAGACUGCAGGGCUGAAUGAUGCUAUGCAGGGGCUGAAGAAAGCAGUCCCUCUUCUGUCUCCAAAUAGCACCUUGUGCAGAGGAAACAAAAUAAGACAUGAGAGCACUGUGAAGGGACCUGUGGCCAGACUGCACCAAGGACGGUCACCAGUAUGUAUUGCCCCAGUAUGCUUCAUCUGAGUGCAGUCUGGAAGAGCACUGGUUGUGGGCCAGCAGGAAGGCAGAGAAUGCUAACGCGGCUAAGACAUGAGUGAAGGAGAUGUGUCCCUUACCAGCCAGAGGCGUACUGCUUCCUGUCCGUCUCGCAGGAGGAAGGCAGCAGAAGGCACCGUUGUGCUAGAGAUGUGUCUAGCUCCUGUGACAUAGUCACUUCUGUGUGUGUGGAGCCUCAAUGCCACAUCUGGAAUCUGGUGUGGGGACAUCCAGAACUUGAGAUGGAUAUGGGCUCAUCUGAGUGCUUUUACUACAUCGACUAACUGACACCUGGAAAAUGGGCUCACAAUGUGUUACAGCUGGCUUGUUGCUACAGAAGCUGUUUUUCUGCUUUUUCUCCAGACUUGUUACCUAAGAUUUCUCAGUUGACAUCUAAAGACACAAAUACUGUGAGAACUGGCUUUAUGUUGAUUAUUUGGCAGUAGGGUCUGCACAGAUAGUAACCCCCUUUUUUGCUGGACCUCUACGCUAUACACAUCCAUAGGUGGGCAUAAGACCUCUGUUACCAAAACUUCGUAUGACAGAUCUGGUGAUUCAGAGUCUUCACGCAUCUCUGACAUACUAAGAGCAGCAGUUUAGAUGUGGGGACUGUCCAGAAAUAUAAGAGCAUUUUUAUUUAGAGAUUUCAACUUCAUUAAUCUGAGUACUACGCUGGCCUCCCAUUCUUUUUCCAAUUCUCAUUUAUUUUUUAAAUCUUGGCAAAAAUGAAAAUGUGCUUAGUUUGAUCCUGACUUUGUAGACAUUUUACUAUUUGCACUAGGUUCUUAAGGUUUCUUACUGAAUCUGUCAUUUAUUUUUCUUUUCGCAGGGGAAAUUCUAUAAUCUACUCUGGGAAUUUAGAGAAUCUGGAGAUUGUUAAAAGCAGAUGUCACAGCUGCUUUGAGUAUGGUGGGAAGGAAGAAGAGGAGCUCUCCAGAGAAAUCUGACUGUUGGCUAUAAAGAAGUUCGUGCUAAGCUUUGAGCACCAAGUUCCACAGGACUGUACCGCCUUUAUGCGAAUGAAUAGACAUUGGAUGGGAUUUCAAGACAAGAGGCCUUUGUCCCACAGAAAAGGAGAACACAUCAGAGGGAAGAAGUGCACAUUCUGCCAACUGCAUGCAGAAGAGCAAUUUCUGUGACGUUACCCUGCCCCAUUUGACUGUCUGCAACAUCUUGUGCUAGUGGCUCAUACAACUUGUGUGCUACAUACCUUGUAUUGUUUUAGACUUACCUGGCAAUAAAAUGGUGGGGUUUUCCCCUUGUUUUAUGCAAAAUGUCUCAGAGGAGAAGCAGAAAAAAGACUUAUAUUGAAAGAAUCAAAAUCUUUGUGUCGGUCCCUGACUGAAUUCCAGUGACUGAAACCUGUAGCUAAGCAUCAUCAGAGAUACAUUCUAUGGUGAAAUCCUCCAGGGAAAGAGCUCAUAAAGCAAGGAAAGUAUUUCUUCAUCUUGAGUUUUUAAAGCAACUUACCCAGUAAUGAAAGCAUCAGUGAAAAAUUAAAGUGAAGAAGGUCUCAAGAAAUCAAAACCUUAAUUAGUCUAAGGAAGAUAAUUCUGAAAUGAAAAUACUUGCAAAUUUGAUUGCCUCGAAAUGGAACUGAAAUACAUGGAUGUGAAAGUCACAAUGUUGCUUGUGAGUGACAUUUUCAGAGUAUGUGUUGUGGUCUGGGAACUAGAAUGGUUUCCUGGAUAGGGAAUUUUGACUCCUCUCUUUCCCUUUUUGUUAAGAUCCCCAAGUGCUCUUCUCAAAGAAUGAAAAACACUGGAGUGGGUUUUCCUCGUUCUUUCCCACGCCAUUUCCAUUUGUGCAGAGCAGCUAUUAAAGUCUACCAAACCAGCAUUUGUCUUUCUUGCCAUUUUUGUUCCUUAUAUUAAAGAAAAGCACAGGCUAGGAAGAAAAGGACCACAUUGUGCUGGCCUUCAUUUCACUGCUGGCAAGCUGCAGCACAUUUUGGUGCUGGUGUCACUCAUGAAAUUCAACAAUUAGUUACCUCACUGGAACCAUACAAAAUUAAAAGGUGUUCUGAAGGAGCCUGCUAGCUUCUGGAAAAGCCUGGAAUCUCCUUUACUACACACAUACGCAUACAUCCCGCUGCCUCUUUCCAUCUCUCCUGCAUCAGACCCUGUAUCACCCUCUGUCAGCCCUUAUCGUGCAGCCUCCUCACGCAGCUGGAAAUCACAGCACGAGCUCUUAGUAUUUGUUCUCAUCCUCGGCAGUGCUGCAAGGGGCAGCCUCCCUACGUCUUUCUGCUGUAUGACACUGAGAGGAGAGCACAGAGGACUGGCCUCAGAAUAAAGGCAGUAUUUAUCUAAACCUUUUCUCUCAAAGCGCAUGGUUUCUUUGGGGCUUUCAGAUUUGCGGGCAUCAGGGAAAUGCAGCAGCACGUAGUUGACUAAUUGGAUGCAUUAUUUAUAACAUCACUGACACACACAGAGGGUUUUCAUUUUACAUACCGAAUAGAGAUUGGUGGCAGGCGUGCUGCGGACACAAACUGGGACAAUGACAUUAUAUACAAAUUACUGCUGUAACUGUUCAGCCUUGCCAGGCUACCUGAUCAGACUUAGAAACCUCUUCCCUUGAUGUCAACGGAGGGCCAAAGGCUCUAAUUAACUUUUGAACCUUGAUUAAAUGACGUGUACAGGGCCUUGAGGUAAGUUAGAAAUCCAACCAGUUUAGACAGGUA